rnacentral:rRNA from 1 species
GACGAACGCUGGCGGCGUGCUUAACACAUGCAAGUCGAACGGAAAGGCCCUGCUUGCAGGGUAUUCGAGUGGCGAACGGGUGAGUAACACGUGGGUGAUCUGCCCUGCACUUCGGGAUAAGCCUGGGAAACUGGGUCUAAUACCGGAUAGGAGCCAUCUUUAGUGUGAUGGUUGGAAAGUUUUUUCGGUGUAGGAUGAGCUCGCGGCCUAUCAGCUUGUUGGUGGGGUAAUGGCCUACCAAGGCGGCGACGGGUAGCCGGCCUGAGAGGGUGGACGGCCACAUUGGGGCUGGGGUACGGCCCAGACUCCUACGGGGGGCAGCAGUGGGGAAUAUUGCACAAUGGGCGGGAGCCUGAUGCAACGACGCCGGGGGGGGGAUGACGGCCUUCGGGUUGUAAACUCCUUUCGCUAGGGACGAAGCUUUUUGUGACGGUACCUAGAAAAGAAGCACCGGCUAACUACGUG